rnacentral:rRNA from 1 species
GACGAACGCUGGCGGCGUGCCUAACACAUGCAAGUCGAACGGACGGACCGUAGCUUGCUCCCAUACCGUCAGGGGCGGCCGGGUGAGUAACAGGUUGUCACCUUCCCUGUAAUUUUGGGAUAACUCCGGGAACCCGGGGCAAUUACCGAAUAACUCUUUCCCUCCCUUGAGGGAAAGCGAAAAUAUGGCCUCUCGCUAUCGCUUACACAGCUGCCCGCGUCGCAUUUGGUAGAUGGUGAGGUAACGGCUCACCAAGGCGACGAGGCGGAGCCGACGUGAGAGGAUGAUCGGCCACACGGGAACUGAGACACGGACCAGACUCCUACGGGAGGCAGCAGUAGGGAAUCGUCGGCAAUGGACGAAAGUCUGACGGAGCAACGCCGCGUGAGUGAUGAAGGCUUUCGGAUCGUAAAGCCCUGUUGUCAGGGAAGAACAGGUACCGGCGUAACUGCCGCUACCUUGACGGUACCUGACCAAGAAGCACCGGCUAACUACGUG